rnacentral:tRNA from 1 species
GGCCCCGUGGCUUAACUGGUAGAGCAUGCGCGUACAAAGCGUAGGCAGCGUUCAUGCGUAGGUUCGAAUCCCACUGAGGCUA